CAAAGAAGAUUGAGUGACUCGUUAGUUUGGCAGAAAGCGCGAGGAGACGGGAAAAGUAAAAAAAAGAAAAUGAUACCGGACGCAUCAGCUGUGUGUGUAAACUGAACCUGAGGAGCGUGCACGUGCUGCAGGUGCUGAAGAGGGACAGAGCGCGAGGGGGAUUUACCGGUUUUAAACCUCACCUCCCACACACAACUGAAUAAACUGUGGUUCCUACACCCUAACCAAUGGAGUGAUUCUUCUGCCUACUGCAGAAUACUAACACAACAAGACACAGACAGAUAAGCUAGGAGCGGUCAGGAACAUCUGAGACACAUCUGAGGAGCAUCAGAAGGAAUCCCAGCAGAUGUCCCAUUUACUUUUAAAGAGAAAGAGCAGUGGACAGAAAUAGGUCCAUCCUGGCCAAACUGCUCCUUGGUUUUAUGCACUUGUCCGAUGAAAUCGAUGAAGCCCUCACCAGAUUUGGGAACACCCUGCUCCGGCCAAUCAGUGAACUGGAACUGCCGCACAGUCCGGGAUUGUCCAUCCUGAGAAAAACAAGAACAGAAGCACAACAAGUAGAAUCUACGCAGCAGCUCUAAGCUUUUGGCUUAGUGCCUCUGGCUGCCAGCUGCUUGGCUCUGAGCUUCCACACUUUUCUCCAUACUCACUCUGCCCAUCUCCCUCAGCUUGGUCAGCAUCACCACGAUGGUGGAGUUAUUCUCCCACAGCAUGCGCCAGAAAUCCUCUGUGGUCUCGGCUAACGGGCCCUGGGUGGCUAUAUAGGCCUUCUGUUGUCUGCAGAGACACACGCACACACACCAUAAGCAAAAAACAAAAGCAGCUGCAUUGUCUCUUAAGCAUCUUUGCAAAAUUCACACACAGCAGGCAAAUUACUCUGUAUAAAAAAAAAAAACAACAACAAAAAAAAAACCCACCAGAGUCACUAGUAUACAGCCUUCUGAGAUGCUGCUCUAAGCACUGCACUGAUGUACUGAGUGUUCAGGGAGUGAGAAACUAAGCACUUCGAAUUACAAUGAUGAGCUGAGUUAAAUGCAGUGUUAAGUAUAGACACAUACUGACAGAAGCCUAUAUGUGCAGCUAAAAGGUGUGAUUGGAGAUCAACACACCUUCACAGCCAAUAAUUUUCACUGGACUGGGUCUGCUGCAUUAAAAAUUAUAUAUAAAUUG